rnacentral:lncRNA from 1 species
CCACGGCAUGGAGCCGCCCCUCGCCCUUCCCACACCACAGCCGCUCCCCUCCCCCGGCCCUCUCCCGACGAAGGGGCCGCGGCGAGCGAGCGGCGCACGCGGAGCGGAGGCGAGCGUGCGGAGGCGGGCAGAGCCGCGGGAGGUGCGGUGCGAGCGGAUUAUCUAUUUUUUUGUGUUUUAAAAAAGUAUCACCGCUGGUUGGUCCAAUCCAUCACCGCUGAUCUUAAUCUAACAGGUCGUCGAAUCGACAGUUUGCUGUUUCUACCCCGACGGUGAUAGGACUACCUGUACUCGUGUGGUGGAGCCUUCUUCGGUUCUCCCACGCCAUGAGUGAAGGAAAUAAAGGCACGCGCAACAUGAAUCUGUGUCUCAUUUCGUUCCAUUAAUGGAGCGCCUGGAUGAUCGAUUGUUGCGCAAAGACGUCAUC